GCCCACACACAUACACCCUCUAGUUCCCUCUAUUUCUCACUCCCUCACCGGUAAACCAGCCAUCCACCACCACUUUUGGCGGAUUUCACUGGAGAACCCCAUUAGAAACCCCAUACGCUCCAUUCUCUCAAAGCUUUAAAGUGAUCACCGGAUUUGAUUUCCGUAGUCUUUAUGACAAUGGAAUCAAAUCUAGGUCAGUGCCCUUUCACUUUGGAUGACGCGUUCUUCCCUACUGCCAAUGGGGGGAAGAGGUUCCUUGAUUGUGUGUGGAUGAGGCUGCUGCCCAUGGGGCUAAGAGACCACAUGCAAGAGAGGUCUUAUUUGAUGCGCUCUCUUUGCUGCCCAUGGGGGGAGAGUAAAACCUUGAGGGUAUGGGUGAGGCUGCUGUCCAUGGGGUCAAGAGUUUGCAUACCAGAAAGGACAAUAUCAUGCCUAUUGAGAAUGGGUGGAUCCCUUGACCGGUCUAUGUGGUAGUGUGGUAUAUUUGUGAUAAUUUACCUUACGUUAAAUAUUAUGGUUUUGGAAAUUAUAUUGUUGUUGCUUACAAAUUAUAGUAUAUAGUUUCAAGGUAUUUACUUUGAGAAA